rnacentral:rRNA from 1 species
GAUGAACGCUGGCGGCGUGCCUAAUACAUGCAAGUCGAGCGAACGGACGAGAAGCUUGCUUCUCUGAUGUUAGCGGCGGACGGGUGAGUAACACGUGGAUAACCUACCUAUAAGACUGGGAUAACUUCGGGAAACCGGAGCUAAUACCGGAUAAUAUUUUGAACCGCAUGGUUCAAAAGUGAAAGACGGUCUUGCUGUCACUUAUAGAUGGAUCCGCGCUGCAUUAGCUAGUUGGUAAGGUAACGGCUUACCAAGGCAACGAUGCAUAGCCGACCUGAGAGGGUGAUCGGCCACACUGGAACUGAGACACGGUCCAGACUCCUACGGGAGGCAGCAGUAGGGAAUCUUCCGCAAUGGGCGAAAGCCUGACGGAGCAACGCCGCGUGAGUGAUGAAGGUCUUCGGAUCGUAAAACUCUGUUAUUAGGGAAGAACAUAUGUGUAAGUAACUGUGCACAUCUUGACGGUACCUAAUCAGAAAGCCACGGCUAACUACGUGCCAGCAGCCGCGGUAAUACGUAGGUGGCAAGCGUUAUCCGGAAUUAUUGGGCGUAAAGCGCGCGUAGGCGGUUUUUUAGUCUGAUGUGAAAGCCCACGGCUCAACCGUGGAGGGUCAUUGGAAACUGGAAAACUUGAGUGCAGAAGAGGAAAGUGGAAGUCCAUGUGUAGCGGUGAAAUGCGCAGAGAUAUGGAGGAACACCAGUGGGGAAGGCGACUUUCUGGUCUGUAACUGACGCUGAUGUGCGAAGGCGUGGGGAUCAAACAGGAUUAGAUACCCUGGUAGUCCACGCCGUAAACGAUGAGUGCUAAGUGUUAGGGGGUUUCCGCCCCCUUAGUGCUGCAGCUAACGCAGUAAGCACUCCGCCUGGGGAGUACGACCGCGAGGUUGAAACUCAAAGGAAUUGACGGGGACCCGCACAAGCGGUGGAGCAUGUGGUUUAAUUCGAAGCAACGCGAAGAACCUUACCAAAUCUUGACAUCCUUUGACCCUUCUAGAGAUAGAAGUUUCCCCUUCGGGGGACAAAGUGACAGGUGGUGCAUGGUUGUCGUCAGCUCGCGUCGUGAGAUGUUGGGUUAAGUCCCGCAACGAGCGCAACCCUUAAGCUUAGUUGCCAUCAUUAAGUUGGGCACUCUAAGUUGACUGCCGGUGACAAACCGGAGGAAGGUGGGGAUGACGUCAAAUCAUCAUGCCCCUUAUGAUUUGGGCUACACACGUGCUACAAUGGACAAUACAAAGGGCAGCGAAACCGCGAGGUCAAGCAAAUCCCAUAAAGUUGUUCUCAGUUCGGAUUGUAGUCUGCAACUCGACUACAUGAAGCUGGAAUCGCUAGUAAUCGUAGAUCAGCAUGCUACGGUGAAUACGUUCCCGGGUCU